GAAAUUACAUCUAUGGCACGCCAAAUUUACAAAAAUGAGUAAAACCUAGUUUCACAAUUGAUAAACUAGGUUUAUCGACUGUAAACUAUAGUUUACAAAUCGUAAACUAUAGUUAACGAUUCGUUAAGUAUAGUUUUCAUCUGUAAAACUAUAUUAAACGGUUGUUAACUAUAGUUUACGAAUGCUAAUCUAAGUUUAUCUGUCUGUAAUAAGCGUUAACAAUAGAUUUUGUUGAUAAACAUAGAUUCACUUUAUAAUCGUAAACUAUAGUUAACGGUUGUUAAUCAUAGUUUCACAAAUCGUGAAACUAUAUUUAUCAGAUCGUUAACUAUAGUUAACGGUUUGUAAACUAUAGUUUACAAAUCGUGAAACUGUAUUUAUCAGAAAAUCUAUGUUUUGCAAUCGCAAAUGAUUGUUUUCGGUGUUAAGUAUAGUUUACGGUUGUGAAACAUAGAUUAUCGCGUUAACUAUGGUUUACAGAUGUGAAAUAUAGAUUAACGUUGUUAAUUAUAGUUUACAAUUCGUAAACUAUAGUUUACAACCGAUAAACCUAGUUUAUCGAUUGUGAAACUAUGAUUAUCUCAUUUUUGUGAAUUUGGCGUGCCAUAUACAUCUGUAA